ensembl:snRNA U7 U7 small nuclear RNA
CAAUGUUGCAGCUCUUUUAGAAUUUGUCUAGCAGGCCUUCCGGUUUAUUCCGGAAGGCCCCC